AUGUCAUCACUGGUAACUGUUAUCUCGUAUGACACCAAAUAUACCGUUAGUAUGGAAUGAUAUUUUUAUGAAGAUAUACUUUAAUGAUAGAUUUUAUGAAUGAAACGUUAUAUAAGAAAAAUUAUCUCUUGUUAUUCUAUGAAGUGUAGUAGCUAAUGAAGAUUAAUUUUACGAAGUAUUAGAGCAAAAGAGAAUUAAAAAAUUAAAAAGAUCUAAAUAAGAUUGUUCGUGUGGCUUAAUUAUCUCAAUUCUGGUACACCACUUGUUACAUUCUAACUAAUUAGCGCUAAACAAUAACUUGCAAAUAUUAAAGAUAUUAACACCUUAAUAUUAACACCUAAAGGUUUUCAGGAAAUUUUAUAAUACUUGAUUAUUGUAUAUCUAGUCAUUGAUUGAUAAAAUUUCUUGUAUAAGCAUAGAUCGAGGUUGACGUCAUACGCAGAUUGCAUUACAGAACAAUGACGGGCUCCAAGAUGCUGUUCGGAUGUUUGGCGUUAAUUGCUUUUCUGCAUCCAUUAGUUCACGUUUGUACUUCGAGUAGUACAGCUCAAGGUUUGUACUUCGAGUUGUCUUUUUCCAUGCACUUCAAAUUCCAAUACGAUCUGGUCACGUGGCCUUCGUACAAUUUCGAAAUUUUACCUGUUUGGUAAUCGUCAAUGAAAAAAGAAGUUAUGCGUGACCUCAACACAUUGAAACAAUUUUUAUGAUUUUUUAUUUGCCGGUUGGUCAGCAAGUUAAUGGAAAAAUUUCACUUAACUAUUCGCGUUAAUUUCUUCGGUUUAACUUUUGGGAAAUGCUUCGUUAGCUUCGGGAAUAUUCCAACGAUUCGUUUUACGUACAAAAUAAGCAUGAUAAAUAUUACAUCACGGUAAUGUAAUAUCGGAAUAUAUUAAAGGUGUAAUUUUGUUCGAUUAAUUAUAAUUUAUUAAUAAUGGAUUGAAAAUACAGAUAUUAGUUAGACAGAGAAACGAUGUUUGAUUAACAGGAAAACUAAAUGCAACGCUCGUAUUUACAACAAAUAACUUGACAACUAUUUGGUAACUCUCUCUCUCUCUCCCUCUCACUCUCUCUCUCUCACUAGCAACUCUAACACUCGACAACACUCGCAACUCAAUUCUAACGAUUCUAUGCUUCGACGUCUCGAUCAACUCCGAUUCUCGCAACACGCACACUUUUCGAUUCGCCUUGGAUAGCGAAACCGUCCUUCUUCUAACGCGUUUUUAAAACGCGAUGGCGCUAUCACUUUCUAAAAGCGUCGUCUUUACAUUUCCGAUGGCCACGGGCACACCCGACUGCCAGAUAUACAAUGUAUUAUAAGAGUAUCAUUACCAUACUUUUCAUGAAAAGAGCAAUUUUUCUUGAUAACUAUACUCUGUAACAUAGAUUGAAGUCGCUGAUUUGAUUCCUCUGAUAUCGUUGUCUUAUGAGAGUCUCGCCUGGUCUUGAUUGGUUCUGUUGACUCUUAUCGUUGUGAAAAAUCGAUUCGUUGUGUACCUUUUUUGUAUAGAGAAUUAUUUUGUGGUAGAAUAUAAUGUUGUAAUAUU